rnacentral:rRNA from 1 species
ACGCAAUAGAUACCCUGGUAGUCCACGCCGUAAACUAUGGAUGCUAGCUGUUAUCAGUAUCGACCCUGGUAGUAGCGAAGCUAACGCGUUAAGCAUCCCGCCUGUGGAGUACGGUCGCAAGACUAAAACAUAAAGGAAUUGACGGGGACCCGCACAAGCGGUGGAGCGUGUUGUUUAAUUCGAUGGUAAGCGAAGAACCUUACCAGGGUUUGACAUCUUGGGAAGGUCUCCGAAAGGAGACUGUGCCUUCGGGAAUCCAAUGACAGGUGAUGCAUGGCCGUCGUCAGCUCGUGUCGUGAGAUGUUUGGUUAAGUCCAUUAACGAGCGCAACCCUUAUAGUUAGUUGAAUUUCUCUAGCUAGACUGCCCCGGGCAACGGGGAGGAAGGAGGGGAUGAUGUCAGGUCAGUAUUUCCCUUACACCCUGGGCUACAAACACGCUACAAUGGCCGGUACAAAGGGCGAGCUAAGCCGUGAGGCGGAGCAAAUCCCAUCAAAGCCGGUCUCAGUUCGGAUAGCAGGCUGAAACCCCGCCUGCUUGAA